rnacentral:rRNA from 1 species
UACAGAGGUCCCAAGCGUUGUUCGGAUUUACUGGGCGUAAAGGGUGCGUAGGUGGCGGGGUAAGUCUGGUGUGAAAGCUCCGAGCUCAACUCGGAAAAGCAUUGGAAACUAUCCCGCUGGAGGGUCGGAGGGGAGACUGGAAUUCUCGGUGUAGCAGUGAAAUGCGUAGAUAUCGAGAGGAACACCAGUGGCGAAGGCGAGUCUCUGGACAGUUCCUGACGCUGAGGCGCGAAGGCCAGGGGAGCAAACGGG